rnacentral:rRNA from 1 species
UACGUAGGUGGCAAGCGUUGUCCGGAUUUACUGGGUGUAAAGGGAGCGUAGGCGGGACGGCAAGUUGGAUGUGAAAAACUGAGGCUCAACCUCAGUCCUGCAUCCAAAACUGUUGUUCUUGAGUGGAGCAGAGGUAAGCGGAAUUCCGAGUGUAGCGGUGAAAUGCGUAGAUAUUCGGAGGAACACCAGUGGCGAAGGCGGCUUACUGGACUCUAACUGACGCUGAGGCGCGAAAGCGUGGGGAGCAAACAGGAUUAGAUACCCCUGUAGU